rnacentral:rRNA from 1 species
AUUGAACGCUGGCGGCAGGCCUAACACAUGCAAGUCGAGCGGAUGACGGGAGCUUGCUCCUUGAUUCAGCGGCGGACGGGUGAGUAAUGCCUAGGAAUCUGCCUGGUAGUGGGGGACAACGUUUCGAAAGGAACGCUAAUACCGCAUACGUCCUACGGGAGAAAGCAGGGGACCUUCGGGCCUUGCGCUAUCAGAUGAGCCUAGGUCGGAUAGCUAGUUGGUGGGGUAAUGGCUCACCAAGGCGACGAUCCGUAACUGGUCUGAGAGGAUGAUCAGUCACACUGGAACUGAGACACGGUCCAGACUCCUACGGGAGGCAGCAGUGGGGAAUAUUGGACAAUGGGCGAAAGCCUGAUCCAGCCAUGCCGCGUGUGUGAAGAAGGUCUUCGGAUUGUAAAGCACUUUAAGUUGGGAGGAAGGGCAGUAAGCGAAUACCUUGCUGUUUUGACGUUACCGACAGAAUAAGCACCGGCUAACUCUGUGCCAGCCGCCGCGGUAACAC